CAUCUGUAUAGCAGGGUGAUGAGAAAGAAGCCCUUUCUGCACUCAUGCUUAUUCACUUGUUGUAUGCAAAAGUUCAUUUAGACAAGCCACAUUAAUUUUGGAACAAAGUGCUUUUGACUGAUUAGACAGAAAUUGAGCGAUUUGCAUGGUGCAACACCGCAUUCCAAGAAAAACACCUGCUACCUACUGUCAAAUUUGGUGGAGGUUCCAUCAUGCUGUGGGGCUGUGUGGCUAUUUCAGGGACCGGGGUCCUUGUCAACCCAAUAUCAACAAAUUCUUCAGGAUAAUGUUCAAGCAUCAGACACAAAAUAGAAAUAGUGAAUUUAUUACAAAAAAGCAAAAACAAAAGAUAAUUACAAAAUUAUACAAAAAUUAAAUAAAGAGGUGAGCCCAAUGCGGUUUGACCUUAAGGGUCUUCCUCAGGGGGCACAAAUAGACAAAAAAAGAAAAAAGGCAGAACGAGCCUUACAGUCUCUUAAGUUUUAUAGUCCAUGCUGAAGGUUUCCUCUACGAGGAUCCGGCGUCUGACGUCAUUUCCGCCUACUCCAGUGCCAGAGAGGAAGAGCGACGUCAUCCAGGAAGUGGUUAGGAACGCAAAUGCGUUCCAGGUUAGCAUCCAUGCCUAGCUAUAUAAAGAAACAUUCUCAUUAGCGUCGGUAUAUUGCCCAACCAUCACCAUUAUGGACAGACAUAAUAUCAAAGGCUAUUGUGAUACUAAGCUCUAUAGUUAGUAUAGGUAUGGGUAGAUAGAAUUUGAUUAAAAGUAGGGAGGGGUGUAUGUAUGGAUGCUGGGUUUUCAUUUGGAGGGGUUGAACUUGAUGGACUUUGUCUUUUUUCAACCCAAUUUAACUAUGUAACUAUGUAAGUCCACUCAUCUAUAAGAGAUCAAGCUCUAAGAGCGAAGCAUCAAUAUUUCUGUGUCCUAUAAUCAAAUAAUCAGUAAACAUCACUUCCUGCCAUUUGUCUUUCAGCGCAAUGUGUGCUUACAUUUGGAGUGCAUAUGCGUUCCAGCUCACUGUCUUGCCUAUCUUAUGACUAUGCUUUUUUGUAGCAUCCAUAUUCAAAAUACAUCCUCCAAAUAAUGGACGUAUAGAGAAUAUUAAUAAUCGCCAUAAAAUGAAUUAAAGAGUACAAUAGCAUUAGCAGAAUUUGUGGUCUUGUGGUAGGGGAAGUUUGUUUGCCAAUAUAUAUAGCUUUAUAUAUAUUAGGCUUCUAAGGACAAACUCAUAAUGAAAAAUCAAAACAAAAAUUGAGAAAAGUGAAAAAAUGAAAAAGUGUAUGGAAACUUAUACUUACACAUUACUUGUACAUCAGAUCAUCCAGACGUGUGCUGAGACUGAGCAAGCGAUAAUGCUUGAUUAAAUCGUUUUUCAUCUAGUCUGUAGGAAGCAAGAUAAAUUGAGCAUUUCAUUUAGUCCUGAUGGAGUAACUGUAUUCAAACGAAAUAUCCAUGUUUGUUACUACCAAUUUAUUGUUUUGUUGUACAGUGCUUUGCCCUCAAGGAGCGCUUUACAAAUAAAAAUAUACAUACAUAUACAUACAUACAUUCCGCCUCCCUCCUAAAUAGUAAUGUAAAUAUACUACAGCAAGUCGCUUCAUUGCGCACACGGUUAAAAAACAUUGGCAUCAUUUGCAAACUGAUGCAAUAAUUGGUGCCGGAUGUCAAGAGGCCCCAAUGUUGGCUUAUAAAAGGGGUAGGAAUUUAAAGGAUAUGCUAGUGAAGGCGAAUAAUAAAGCACAUUACUCAACUCCGCAUUUUUUACAGAACCCAAAGCCAGGCAACUAUAAGUGCUUUAAUUGCUCCAUUUGCAAUAGUAUGAUCCAAACUACUUCUUUUUCUCAUCCUAGGACUUCACAAAGGUUUCAGAUAAAACAGAGAAUUACUUGCCAGUCAAUGUAUGUGGUAUACACCCUGGUUUGUCCUUGUGGUCUAUAUUACAUAGGAAAAACUAUACAAAAAUUAAAAGACAGAUUUAUCAAACACAAAAGUGUGAUUAAAAUAGGUCGAUUAAAACUCUCGAUUAAAAAACUCUGUUACUGAGAAAGGAGGCAGAAUGGAUCUUUCGGCUGAACACUGUGACUCCUAUGGGUCUUAAUGAUUCAUUAAAUCUGUCCUGUUUUUUACAGAGCAGAUAAUGACUGCUGCAACUCUAAUCGGCUCCUAUUAUGGAUAUUUUCUUUGAUUCAUCCAGUACGAAUUUUUCUAUCCAAUUUUUCUAUCCAUACUAGAUGAUGAACCGGGAUAGUGUAUAACAGACUCAUGGGACACCAGACUUAGACUGUAUCUGGGGCUCUUAAACAAGAAAUGGCCUAUUUGUGAUUUAAUUGUGCACAGUAACAUGAGUUAUGAUGUCAUUUUUUUGUUGUAUCUUGGCCAUCAAACAGACAUGAUGUGCAGCAAUUGUGAGUCAUAACAUGGAUUUGGAAAAGUGUGCGAGAAAUUGUUAUUUUUUUCCCCUAUUUUGAGAUCUAAUGCGUGCUAUUUUUGUAAUAACUAGAAUGCGCAUGCGCAACAGAGAGUGGAACGCAUAUGCGUUCCAUUCUAAGAAGUUGUGCGCAUAUUCCCAUUUUCGCCUAUAAUUGGGCGUUAAUGCGCAUGAUUGAAUGGAACGCAUGCACGUUUUCGCCUAUGACUGGGCGUGAAUGCGCAUGUUCGAGUGGAACGCAUAUGCGUUCCAAAUAGAGAUUUAGUGAGCACACUUCCUAUUUUCACCUGUAAUUGGGCGGAAAUGACGUCACACGCCAAGCAUCGUCUGUUUGGGAGCCUGCUUAACAUGCCACAAGGUAUUUGAACUGCAUGUACACAUACAAUCUUCCUGCCUUUUUGAUCUUUCUUAUAUUGAGGAGUUUUUUGCCCCUGAUGAAGACCACCGUGGUGGUCGAAACACGUCGGGUUUUUCUAUGAUGUUUGUAAGUUUUUAACAAUAUGAUAUAAUAAAUUUUGAUUCUUUUGUAUAA